GAGUUUGAUCUUGGCUCAGAUUGAACGCUGGCGGCAUGCCUUACACAUGCAAGUCGAACGGCAGCACGGGAGCUUGCUCCUGGUGGCGAGUGGCGAACGGGUGAGUAAUGCAUCGGAACGUAUCCUGGAGUGGGGGAUAACGUAGCGAAAGUUACGCUAAUACCGCAUAUUCUGUGAGCAGGAAAGCGGGGGACCUUCGGGCCUCGCGCUCUUGGAGCGGCCGAUGUCGGAUUAGCUAGUUGGUGAGGUAAAGGCUCACCAAGGCGACGAUCCGUAGCAGGUCUGAGAGGAUGAUCUGCCACACUGGAACUGAGACACGGUCCAGACUCCUACGGGAGGCAGCAGUGGGAAUUUUGGACAAUGGGGGCAACCCUGAUCCAGCCAUGCCGCGUGAGUGAGAAGGCCUCGGUUGUAAG
rnacentral:rRNA from 1 species